rnacentral:rRNA from 1 species
CCUACGGGAGGCAGCAGUGAGGAAUAUUGGUCAAUGGGCGGAAGCCUGAACCAGCCAAGUAGCGUGCAGGAUGACGGCCCUACGGGUUGUAAACUGCUUUUAUACGGGAAUAACGCGCCUUACGUGUAGGGCUUUGCAUGUACCGUAUGAAUAAGGACCGGCUAAUUCCGUGCCAGCAGCCGCGGUAAUACGGAGGGUCCGGGCGUUAUCCGGAUUUAUUGGGUUUAAAGGGAGCGUAGGCCGCAUGUCAAGCGUGCGGUGAAAUGUCCGGGCUCAACCCGGGCCUUGCCGGGCGAACUGGCGGGCUUGAGUACGCGGAAGGCAGGCGGAAUUCGUGGUGUAGCGGUGAAAUGCUUAGAUAUGACGAAGAACCCCGAUUGCGAAGGCAGCUUGCUGCGGCGGAACUGACGCUGAUGCUCGAAAGCGCGGGGAUCGAACAGGAUUAGAUACCCUUGUAGUC